AUGCAGUGUUUGUGGGUGUACAUGAUGCUGUGCCUCCAAGGGGGUUUUCCAUGCCAACGGAACUGAUGUGGCUGUCAUCCAGGUUCCAUUCGAAGACCCCAUUGUUCCAAGAACUCCUUCAAAAGGCACCUGCACAGAGGGCAUCAGCUUUCAGUGGGGCAUCCAACCAUUCAACUACACGUGGGAGGUUGGCGUCGGACCUGACCUGGCUAUGCAUCGUAGGUACAUUAUGCUCUAUGAAAACCAGUGACCAUGGAUGUUUCUCUCCACCACCGGAUACAUCUGAGAGGGACGCCAAGACGCUGGAAGCUCAGCAUGCCUCUACCAAACGCUGCCUCGUCACAACUACUGAGCCCAUCUGCAAGACUAUGUAGGGUCACUACAUAUUGGUGUCGGUUGUGUUUCAGGUCCUCUUCAUUUCAGUUGCGCUGAGCAUCUGACUUCUCCACGCAUUUCAAUCUGAUUAUUGGAUGAUAUUGCAUCUGGUAUGUCACUUCUCUCCAGUGCCUUCCACAGAAGGGGUGAGGACUGACAACAAACUGUACUCUGGCCAUCAUUGGUGCAGAACCUCCCUCCUGGACUCCACCUGCAGGCCCCAAGAGACCGUUGACACCCACCAGGGUUCUAACUUUGGACUCUACACCUGUAAAACAAAGUCAUGGCAGGGUUCAAAGUCUCUAGGCUAGUAGUGGCUUUGUCCCAUAGUAUCUUUGGAUUAAAUUGAUUGGCAAUCCUUUCAGAUGGACUACCAGUGGUGAAUGGGAUUGUGUUCUACAAGCAAUACUCACCUGAAGACAGGCUUGUCAUCAGACAUCUUAUAGGUAUGGCUCUACAUUUCGUAACGCCUCUGAGUCUAACGUGCGCACUGAGUCUAACGUGAUUUGGAUUUGUCAAUAGAAACAUUGGAUAUCUGGUCCUAAAGGGGCUGCGCUACUAAGCAGUGUCCCACUCACCCCAUUGUAUGUUGAUGGGAUAUUUAAUUUACUUUCUGAAAGUCACAUUACAUUUUGUCAAUCUGGUGAAUGAGUGCUUUUGACUAGAACAAUCUUAAUGUGCUUUGGAAGUUUGGACUUUCAAUCUCAGGAUCUGAGGGAGACCCAGUCACACUCUCGCUGACCAGGUUCCAAUGAAAACUGAGUCUUCAGUAAACAGCUGGGUUCCAAAUGACCUGAUGGAAUUAACUUUAUUUUUUAAAUUCAGUUUAGCUUUGCCAGAGGCCAGACUCUCAUUGUGAUUCCUUGACUGACACGGACUAAAGUAUCCUGUUACAACAAUCUACUAAAUUAAUUUGGGUCCCCUGGCCACACCCAGCAAUUUAAACUAGCAUUGAAUCAAUACUUUCAUGUUAUUACUCUAUUUAAAAUUAAUAAAUUGUUGGCUCUUGAAGACUUCCUCCAGUACCUUUUUUUUGUUUUUAAAAGCACUAUACCAAGCUUAACUGCAGACUUCAAAUUCCGUGUUUUGUGGGACUGCCUGUGUAAACGCAGCCAAUAAUUUUUCCAGUAGUUGAUUGUCUCCAAUCGGGUAAAAGAUAAAGACUGCCUGUGUAAAUGCAGCCUUUGCUCAGGGGUAUACAACUCAUACCCUACAAGGUCCAGCGCCUGCUGGUUUUGUUCUGCUAAUGACCUUGUGUUCCAGGUCUAAAAUUCCAGUCUUGAAUUUGCAUCCAGGAAUGUGUUUACUUGUGUUGAGCUUUUUUCUCUAGGCUUAAUUAGCUGUCAAAUGAGGCAGAGAUUACAUGACCGCUACUUGGACACUUCAAAUAGUGUUACCCAACAUUAUAGCAAAACCCUUAGCAUGCUCAUUGUGACAUAAAGAAAUAACCUGUCAUUCUUCUUUAGCAAACAUGUUUAGUUAUGCAAGUUGACUCAGCAAUACCUCAGCAAUUACCUCGUGCUUGUAAUUUAAAGCCUGCGUGAAAGGUGCAAUCUGCAGUUGCUUUUGGGGACUUUAUGACCAUUUUAUAUACAGUGGAUUUGAAAGUAUUCAAACUCCUUCACCACAUUUACAUCACAGCCUUGUUCAAAAGUGGAUAAAAUCUUACUCGGACAGGUUUUUAAAUGUUAACUUAAGGUCUGUACGCCAGUCAUGUAAAGUCAAUGAAAGCCUCAUUUAAAUGUACAGCUUUUGUAUUGCAUCAUGAUUUUCAGUAAUCGCUUCAAUUCAAACUUAACACCAGAUUUGCCCCUGGUGGGAUAUACAAUCAACUCUUCACCAUUAAAGCCUUCCUGGUACAUGUGCUGGGAUAAUAAAUAAAAAAAUUCCCCCUUAUCAGGAUGCCUACACCACAGUAGGUAGCAUCAUAAGCCACUUCAACCCAGCUCUUUAAAUCUAACAAGGUCCAUUUAAAUGUCAUGUGGGCAUUCAGUAUGUCAGACUCUUACUAAACUAGUUUGACGUUCAAGUGUAAAAUUGAAUUGCAUGAGCAGUUUUCAAGCACGUUGUGCUGUGAUUCCCCCAGAUAGGAAUUAACUACACUGGUGACAGGU
rnacentral:lncRNA from 1 species